rnacentral:rRNA from 1 species
UCCAGGCCCUACGGGGCGCAGCAGGCGCGAAACCUCCGCAAUGCGGGCAACCGCGACGGGGGGACCCCCAGUGCCGUGGCAUCGCCACGGCUUUUCCGGAGUGUAAAAAGCUCCGGGAAUAAGGGCUGGGCAAGGCCGGUGGCAGCCGCCGCGGUAAUACCGGCGGCCCGAGUGGUGGCCGCUAUUAUUGGGCCUAAAGCGUCCGUAGCCGGGCCCGUAAGUCCCUGGCGAAAUCCCACGGCUCAACCGUGGGGCUUGCUGGGGAUACUGCAGGCCUUGGGACCGGGAGAGGCGGGGGGUGCCCCUGGGGUAGGGGUGAAAUCCUAUAAUCCCAGGGGGACCGCCAGUGGCGAAGGCGCCCCGCUGGAACGGGUCCGACGGUGAGGGACGAAGGCCAGGGGAGCGAACCGGAUUAGAUACCCGGGUAGUCCUGGCUGUAAAGGAUGCGGGCUAGGUGUCGGGCGAGCUUCGAGCUCGCCCGGUGCCGAAGGGAAGCCGUUAAGCCCGCCGCCUGGGGAGUACGGCCGCAAGGCUGAAACUUAAAGGAAUUGGCGGGGGAGCACUACAAGGGGUGGAGCGUGCGGUUUAAUUAGAUUCAACGCCGGGAACCUCACCGGGGGCGACGGCAGGAUGAAGGCCAGGCUGAAGGUCUUGCCGGACACGCCGAGAGGAGGUGCAUGGCCGCCGUCAGCUCGUACCGUGAGGCGUCCACUUAAGUGUGGUAACGAGCGAGACCCGCGCCCCCAGUUGCCAGUCCUCCCCGCUGGGGAGGAGGCACUCUGGGGGGACCGCCGGCGAUAAGCCGGAGGAAGGAGCGGGCGACGGUAGGUCAGUAUGCCCCGAAACCCCCGGGCUACACGCGCGCUACAAUGGGCGGGACAAUGGGAUCCGACCCCGAAAGGGGAAGGGAAUCCCCUAAACCCGCCCCCAGUUCGGAUCGCGGGCUGUAACUCGCCCGCGUGAAGCUGGAAUCCCUAGUACCCGCGUGUCAUCAUCGCGCGGCGAAUACGUCCCUGCUCCUUGUACUCACCGCCCGUC